UGCUCAACUGGGCCUUUCUCCUCGUUUUGUCGGUUUCCCGAGCGCCUUGACCCGGAAGGCCGUCGUUCGCCCGAAAGGCUCUGCUGCAUCUCGGCAUCGGGUUCGAGGGUGGCAGGGACAACAAGGACGCCAGGUUCGGCUAAACACCUCUCCAUGCUGGAAGCAGAAGUGCGUGUCAAUGCAGCACACACUCGUCGAGCUCUGCGUUACUCGACUAUUCUCGAGCCGAUAUCAAUCCCACACCAGCGGAGCUGCUGGACGACGAUCAGGCCAUUCCCACGAAGACACGCGGACAUCGAGAACAAGAGGGACAGGAGCCAGGAGGCCACUCUUCUCUCCUGUUUCCCCAGGGUGACGCACAUCGCUCGGAGGAAGGUCAGGCAGCAGAAGAAGAAGAGUGUGACGUGAUGAACCUGCUGUUGGCACCAGGUGGAAACGCUGCUGCAGGUUCUGCUCAGCACUUGGGCCACAUGGUGACUGACGUGACGAGUGACGGAAACGGGGAAGAAAGAAGAAAAGAUAAAGAAUAACUUUUGUUCUCUUCCACGGGAAACGGCCGCGCAGGAGAUCAGAGUCUCGUGCCUCAGCUCAGCAGCCUG